UACAGAGGGUGCAAGCGUUAAUCGGAAUUACUGGGCGUAAAGCGUGCGUAGACGGUUACAUAAGUCGGGUGUGAAAGCCCCGGGCUCAACCUGGGAAUUGCAUUCGAGACUGCGUAGCUAGGGUGCGGAAGAGGGAAGCGGAAUUUCCGGUGUAGCGGUGAAAUGCGUAGAUAUCGGAAGGAACACCAGUGGCGAAAGCGGCUUCCUGGUCCAACACCGACGUUCAGGCGCGAGAGCGUGGGGAGCAAACAGG
rnacentral:rRNA from 1 species